UACGUAGGGUGCAAGCGUUAAUCGGAAUUAUUGGGCGUAAAGCGCUGGUAGGUGGCUUGUUAAGUCGCGUGUGAAAUCUCCAGGCUCAACCUGGAAAGUGCGCGCGAAACUGCAGAGCUUGAGUACCGGAGAGGAUGGCGGAAUUCCCCAAGUAGAGGUGAAAUUCGUAGAUAUGGGGGAGGAACACCGGUGGCGAAGGCGGCCAUCUGGACGGAUACUGACGCUGAGACGCGAAAGCGUGGGGGAGCAAACAGG
rnacentral:rRNA from 1 species